rnacentral:rRNA from 1 species
AACGAACGCUGGCGGCAUGCCUAACACAUGCAAGUCGAACGAGACCUUCUGGUCUAGUUGCGCACGGGUGCGUAACCCGUUGGAACCUGCCCUUUGGUUCGGGAUCACUCCCCGAAAGGGGUUCUAAUACCGGCUAAUGUCUUCGAGCCAAAGAUUUAUCGCCUUUGGAUGGGCCCGCGUUUGAUUAGAUCGUUUGUAGGGUAAAAGCCUAACCCGGAGAAGAUCCCUAGCUGGUCUGAGAGGAUGAUCAGACACACGGGGACUGAGACACGGCCGAGACUCAUACGAGAGGGAGGAGGGGGGAAUAGUGGAAAAGGGGAGAAAGUGUGAGAGAACAACGGCGUGUGAGUGAAGAAGGCAUGAGGGGUGGAAAGCUUUUUUACCAGGGAAGAUAAUGACAGUACCGGGAGAAUAAGCUCCGGCUAACUCCGUG